rnacentral:rRNA from 1 species
GUAGGUGGCAAGCGUUGUCCGGAAUUAUUGGGCGUAAAGCGCGCGCAGGCGGUCCUUUACGUCUGAUGUGAAAGCCCACGGCUCAACCGUGGAGGGUCAUUGGAAACUGGGGGACUUGAGUACAGAAGAGGAAAGCGGAAUUCCACGUGUAGCGGUGAAAUGCGUAGAGAUGUGGAGGAACACCAGUGGCGAAGGCGGCUUUCUGGUCUGUAACUGACGCUGAGGCGCGAAAGCGUGGGGAGCAAACAGGGAUUAGAUACCCUGGUAGUCCACGCCGUAAACGAUGAGUGCUAAGUGUUAGGGGGUUUCCGCCCCCUUAGUGCUGCAGCUAACGCAUUAAGCACUCCGCCUGGGGAGUACGGCCGCAAGGCUG